AGUGAACGCUGGCGGUAGGCCUAACACAUGCAAGUCGAACGGCAGCACAGUAAGAGCUUGCUCUUACGGGUGGCGAGUGGCGGACGGGUGAGGAAUACAUCGGAAUCUACUUUUUCGUGGGGGAUAACGUAGGAAAACUUACGCUAAUACCGCAUACGACCUACGGGUGAAAGCAGGGGAUCUUCGGACCUUGCGCGAUUGAAUGAGCCGAUGUCGGAUUAGCUAGUUGGCGGGGUAGAGGCCCACCAAGGCGACGAUCCGUAGCUGGUCUGAGAGGAUGAUCAGCCACACUGGAACUGAGACACGGUCCAGACUCCUACGGGAGGCAGCAGUGGGGAAUAUUGGACAAUGGGCGCAAGCCUGAUCCAGCCAUACCGCGUGGGUGAAGAAGGCCUUCGGGUUGUAAAGCCCUUUUGUUGGGAAAGAAAAGCAGCAGGUUAAUACCCCGCUGUUCUGACGGUACCCAAGGAAUAAGCACCGGCUAACUUCGUG
rnacentral:rRNA from 1 species